CCCAGCCAGAAACUUCUGAACGUGCGUGACGUGGUCCCUGGCAGCAGAUGGAAGGAGGAGAUUUCUCUCUCUCUCUCUCUGAGAACCCAAACUCUGCACCGAGAGAGGGAGAAAUCAGUCCCAGGUUCUCCUGCACACAGAUUCCACCCCCACCUCAUCCCAUUUUCUUCCCCGGCUUUGAGUAAUUCUCCCUGGGCUCUCUCCUGACGGCUGAUUAACCGAGGGGGAUGGACACGGGCAACUGAAUGAACGGGCUAAGCUUCUCCAAUUCUGAAUAGCUGACUCUUUCGCAUUGACGGACGCUGAGAUUUCACAGAUGAAAGUGUCGGAAUUUCCAUCCCUCACACACAGCGGAGAAACCUCUGUGUGUCUGUGUGCCUCUGAAGAGCAGAAGGGGCCCUCCAUCCUACCUGAGUGAACAGAUGACAAGCACAGUAGCAGGCGGUGAUUUAAAACAAAAGGUGACAUACUAGUGAGGCUGAAUCAUAGAAGGGAGCUUUGAAUGAUUAAGCUUGAAGCAGGGAGAACAGAAUUGAACACUGAAGUCUGAAAGUGGCCUCAUCGAUUUCCCUACAGCUGCAACAUGAUGUCCCAACUCCUAAACCCAAAGCACUGACAAAUGAAG